UACGUAGGGGGCAAGCGUUGUCCGGAAUCAUUGGGCGUAAAGCGCACGUAGGCGGUCUUUUAAGUCGGGGGUGAAAUCCUGGAGCUCAACUCCAGAACUGCCUUCGAUACUGGAAGACUCGAGUCCGGGAGAGGUGAGUGGAACUGCGAGUGUAGAGGUGAAAUUCGUAGAUAUUCGCAAGAACACCAGUGGCGAAGGCGGCUCACUGGCCCGGUACUGACGCUGAGGUGCGAAAGCGUGGGGAGCAAACAGG
rnacentral:rRNA from 1 species